AUUAUGGCAUGCAAUUGCAACUCCAGCCAACCCCCUCCUCUAGUUGAAAUGCAGAAAUUUCCCCCCUACUCCGCCCCCCACUCCUAACAUUGAAGAGACCAGUCCCAAAAUUGGAUGUUAUCGGAGAUGGAGUUUGAAGAAGAGUUUUCUUUUCCCUUUGUUGCGGUUGCUACAGAGGAAAAAGCUCCUAAUGCUGUUACUGAAGAGAAGCCUGCGGAAGAUGAAAAUGCGAACGCAAAGGAAGCAAGUGCUAAUGAUGAUGAAGCCAGGAAGUGAAGGCAUUUUGAGAUGUUUGGGUGCAUCCGCCAAUAAUAAAAGACAAUAAUACUCUUGUUUGAUUUAAGACUUUUCCGAUCUAGUUUAAUUUGAUUUCGUUUUAAAUUUAUGAAUUGCCUGUAAGGAGAAUUCUAAUUGAUGGAGUGAUGAAUCAGUAUUAAUAAUUGA